AUAAUGAUACUUCCGUCCAGUCACAGACAUCGCAAUGAGGGCGGCUUUGUGAGAACCACAUCGGGGUUAGAUUCCCAUGA
rnacentral:ncRNA from 1 species